rnacentral:tRNA from 1 species
GGUAGCGUGGCCGAGUGGUCUAAGGCGCUGGUUUUAGGCACCAGUCUCUACGGAGGCGUGGGUUCGAAUUCCAUCGCUGCCA